UACAGAGGGUGCGAGCGUUAAUCGGAAUUACUGGGCGUAAAGCGUGCGUAGACGGUAGCGUAAGUCAGAUGUGAAAGCCCCGGGCUCAACCUGGGAAUUGCAUUUGAGACUGCUCUGCUCGGGUGCGGAAGAGGGAAGCGGAAUUUCCGGUGUAGCGGUGAAAUGCGUAGAUAUCGGGAAGAACACCCAUGGCGAAGGCAGCUCUCUGGGACGGUACUGACGCUGAGACGCGAAAGCGUGGGGAGCAAACAGG
rnacentral:rRNA from 1 species